rnacentral:lncRNA from 1 species
AACAAUUAAAAAUAUGCACAAUAAUAUUUAAUUCAUGAAAAAUAUCAAAAUUAAUCCAAAAUAAAUUUUAAUUCAGAAAAUGGAAGAGAAAAAUAUUUAAAGAUUUUUGGUGAAAGUCCCAUAUUUUUUGGAUUAAAAAUGAAAUUAAUAUGAACUAAACAAAAUAAAUGGAUUAAAUGGAAAAUCAGAAAAUAAAAAGAAAUUCAAAAAAAC